GCCCCAGGUGCUGACAACCCAUGCUACGCCACUGCCCACAGACAAUUAGGAAUUAUCCAAUCAUCAACUGGUUACAUCCCACACAUCCCCUCCCCUUAGCCUGAGAGAUAACAUAAUUAAGUGUACAGUUUAAACACACAUUUUUACCUAAUUUCUAUAUCUUUAAAAAUAUACAUCACAUUCACAUAAAACUAUCAUUUUCUGAAUCAGCAUACAUAGGGAACAAACAUACCCAAAAAUCAUUCAAAUCCGUUCAGCUGUUCGGGAGUUGGCUCGAAGUCAUAUCUUGACCGACCACACGCACAUUUUCAUGCCCAAAAC